ensembl:snRNA U2 U2 spliceosomal RNA
AUCGCUUCUCGGCCUUUUGGCUAAGAUCAAGUGUAAAAUUUACUAAUAUUAUUUAUUAUUUUGAAAUAAGACUAUGUAUUAUUCUGAUAAAUGAAUGUAUAAAACAAGAAACAACCACUAUAUUUCUCUGUUGCCAUUUUGUCCUUUCU